GAUGAACGCUGGCGGCGUGCCUAAUACAUGCAAGUCGAGCGAACGGACGAGAAGCUUGCUUCCCUGAUGUUAGCGGCGGACGGGUGAGUAACACGUGGAUAACCUACCUAUAAGACUGGGAUAACUUCGGGAAACCGGAGCUAAUACCGGAUAAUAUUUUGAACCGCAUGGUUCAAAAGUGAAAGACGGUCUUGCUGUCACUUAUAGAUGGAUCCGCGCUGCAUUAGCUAGUUGGUAAGGUAACGGCUUACCAAGGCAACGAUGCAUAGCCGACCUGAGAGGGUGAUCGGCCACACUGGAACUGAGACACGGUCCAGACUCCUACGGGAGGCAGCAGUAGGGAAUCUUCCGCAAUGGGCGAAAGCCUGACGGAGCAACGCCGCGUGAGUGAUGAAGGUCUUCGGAUUGUAAAACUCUGUUAUUAGGGAAGAACAUAUGUGUAAGUAACUGUGCACAUCUUGACGGUACCUAAUCAGAAAGCCACGGCUAACUACGUG
rnacentral:rRNA from 1 species